rnacentral:lncRNA from 1 species
CUGAGACUUCCUGAAGGACUGUGAGUGACGCCUAUUACGACGUCAUGAGCAGACAAGGCAACCUCAUCAGGACACUAACAGAAACUCGAGGCAGAGAGCCGUGGUCAGCCGUGGAGGACACAGCGACCUGGCUCUGGAGCAUGGAACCUCGGACAACAUACUGUCAAGUGAGAAACAGACAACAGACAACUUCAACUCUCACACAUGAGCACACAUUUUUACUUGCUCACCAAACGUAUUGAUCACUCUGCCAAACAGGUACUGGGAGAAGGGAGAUGGAAAGCUUGUGAAAUCAGCUCAGCCACCACCUCCUUGGUGCUUCGAGGUCCUGUGUGCCUACAGGACACGGACCUGCAGUCUUGCACCCAGAACCCAUAAGCACUUUCC